rnacentral:rRNA from 1 species
AGUGAACGCUGGCGGUAGGCCCAACACAUGCAAGUCGAACGGCAGCACAGUAAGAGCUUGCUCUUACGGGUGGCGAGUGGCGGACGGGUGAGGAAUACAUCGGAAUCUACUUUUUCGUGGGGGAUAACGUAGGGAAACUUACGCUAAUACCGCAUACGACCUACGGGUGAAAGCAGGGGAUCUUCGGACCUUGCGCGAUUGAAUGAGCCGAUGUCGGAUUAGCUAGUUGGCGGGGUAAAGGCCCACCAAGGCGACGAUCCGUAGCUGGUCUGAGAGGAUGAUCGGCCACACUAGAACUGAAACACGGUCCAGACUCCUACGGGAGGCAGCAGUGGGGAAUAUUGGACAAUGGGCGCAAGCCUGAUCCAGCCAUACCGCGUGGGUGGAGAAGGCCUUCGGGUUGUAAAGCCCUUUUGUUGGGAAAGAAAAGCAGCAGGUUAAUACCCCGCUGUUCUGACAGUACCCAAAGAAUAAGCACCGGCUAACUUCGUG